GGCCCCGUAGCUCAGCUGGAUAGAGCAAGAACCUUCUAAGUUCGAGGUCGCAGGUUCGAGUCCUGCCGGGGUCGCCA
rnacentral:tRNA from 1 species